rnacentral:rRNA from 1 species
UACGGAGGAUCCAAGCGUUAUCCGGAUUUAUUGGGUUUAAAGGGUGCGUAGGCGGCCUAUUAAGUCAGGGGUGAAAGACGGUAGCUUAACUAUCGCAGUGCCCUUGAUACUGAUGGGCUUGAAUAUACUAGAGGUAGGCGGAAUGUGACAAGUAGCGGUGAAAUGCAUAGAUAUGUCACAGAACACCAAUUGCGAAGGCAGCUUACUAUGGUAUUAUUGACGCUGAGGCACGAAAAGCGUGGGGGAUCAAAACAGG